AUUUAUAUAGUUUAAAAAAAACAUUACAUUUUCAAUGUAAAAUAGGGCAAACCCUAUAAAUA
rnacentral:tRNA from 1 species